rnacentral:lncRNA from 1 species
UAAUAGUUAUUUUUUCAAAAAUAAUCAAGCAAGUGAUGUACUAAAAUAGUUGUGUGGUGGAAACCACGACAUGUAUUUGUGUCAAUACAUAUCUGAUGGAGAUCUUUCCUACUUAAAUAUUGGUGGUGUUACUACAAAACAUAGGGAAAGCUUUCCCUUUUGUGUUGUCUAGAUAGAUAAGCAAACUUUCCGAGUUUCAUGAUUGUUUUUCUUCGUCUUUGUCUUUUCUAGAUUGUUCUUAAGGUAUUGCCAGAACGUGUUGGUGGAGAUAUGCGUAUGGCUCUAAAUCAAUUGCAAUACAUGAGUCUCUCCGAAUCUGUUAUCCAAUAUGAUGAUAUAAGAUGGCAGUGGUAUCUUUCCUGAAAAAACAUGUAAGAAGUUAAUCAAUAGAAGAGUGCACUUUGGAAGAUGAAGUUCAUUCAAAUCUGAACAAAAGCAUCAGUAAAAUUACAGUAUUGGAACAGAAAAAUAUCCGUAGAGUAACCAAUGCUAUUUUUGUAACAAACUCACUGCUUUUACUGUGGGAAGCAAGAUCCACUGUUAAAAUACCUACAAUUCUUGGAGUGAGGGCAAAUUUGGUCAGAUAAGAACGUAUAGAAAAUAUAAGACAUAUUAAUACGGUUUAGUUGUUAUUUGUUAUAC